rnacentral:rRNA from 1 species
UACAGAGGGGGCAAGCGUUGUUCGGAAUUACUGGGCGUAAAGGGCGCGUAGGCGGCCUGCUAAGUCGAACGUGAAAUCCCCGAGCUCAACUCGGGAACUGCGUCCGAUACUGGCAGGCUUGAAUCCGGGAGAGGGAUGCGGAAGUUCCAGGUGUAGCGGUGAAAUGCGUAGAUAUCUGGAGGAACACCGGUGGCGAAGGCGGCAUCCUGGACCGGCAUUGACGCUGACGGCGCGAAAGCCA